rnacentral:rRNA from 1 species
GGGGGGCAACAUUGGGGAUUUUUGCUUCAAUGGGCGAAAGCCCGACGGAGCAAAACCGUGGGAGCCAUGGCGGCCUAUUGGUUGUAAACCUUUUUUUUCAGGGAGGAAUCAACCAGGUGUUCGUGAAGAAUAAGCAUCGGCAAACCCCGAACCAGCAGCCGCGGUAAGACUGAGNACGCAAGUGUUAUCCGGAAUCACUGGGCGUAAAGCGUCUGUAGGUGGUCCAAUAAGUCAACUGUUAAAUCUUGAAGCUCAACUUCAAAAUCGCAGUCGAAACUUUUAGACUAGAGUAUAGUAGGGGUAAAGGGAACUUCCAGUGCAGCGGUGAAAUGCGUAGAUAUUGGAAAGAACACCGAUGGCGAAGGCACUUUACUGGGCUAUUACUGACACUCAGAGACGAAAGCUAGGGUAGCAAAUGGGAUUAGAUACCCCAGUAGUCCCAGCUGUAAACAAUCGAUACUAGAUGUGGACAGACGACCUUGCAGCAUCAAAGACAAAUCGCGCUAAGUUCCCGCCUGGAA